rfam:Picea glauca, whole genome shotgun sequence.
AGAUAGGAUCUUCUAAGAUCCUCAGAAAAUUCUCUACAAAUGCUUAU